rnacentral:rRNA from 1 species
CCUACGGGUGGCAGCAGUGGGGGAUUUUGCACAAUGCGGGGAACACUGAUGCAGCGACGCCGCGUGAGUGACGAAGGCCUUCGGGGCGUAAAGCUCUGUCAACAGGGAAGAAAAUGACGGUAACUGACGAAGAAGCCACGGCUAACUACGUGCAAGCAGCCGCGGUAAUACGGAGGGGGCGAGCGUUGUCCGGAGUGACUGGGGGUAAAGGGGACGUAGGCGGCGUUGUAAGUCAGUAGUGAAAGCCUAGAGCUCAACUUUAGUACGGCUAGUGGUACUAUAAGUCUAGAGUGCCGGAGAGGAUUGCAGAAUUCCUGGUGUAGCGGUGAAAUGCGUAGAUAUCAGGAGGAACACCGUUAGCGAAGGCGGCCAGCUGGCUGGAAACUGACGCUGAGGCGCGAAAGCGUGGGGAGCAAACAGGAUUAGAUACCCCAGUAGUC